AACGCGUGGGUAACCUGCCUUAUAGCGGGGAUAACUAUUGGAAACGAUAGCUAAUACCGCAUAACAAUAGAGAUUGCAUAAUCUUUAUUUGAAAGUGCCAACUGGUACACUAUGAGAUGGACCCGCGUUGUAUUAGCUAGUUGGUAGUGUAAUGGACUUACCAAGGCCGAUGAUACAUAGCCGACCUGAGAGGGUGAUCGGCCACAUUGGGACUGAGACACGGCCCAAACUCCUACGGGAGGCAGCAGUAGGGAAUCUUCGGCAAUGGACGAAAGUCUGACCGAGCAACGCCGCGUGAGUGAAGAAGGUUUCGGAUCGUAAAACUCUGUUGUUAGAGAAGAAUGUUGAUUAGUGUGGAAAAUUAAUCAAGUGACGGUAUCUAACCAGAAAGGGACGGCUAACUACGUG
rnacentral:rRNA from 1 species